CCGAGGUUGCCACACCGGUUCCCUGGAGGCCACGCCAGUAGGUGUCUAGAUGGCAGCAUUCACAUGCAGCGAGCUCUGACCACGCUACUGUGUGGUCUCGUGGCGGCGACUUCUCCACCCUCAGCUGAGUUCGCGAGUUUUUGGUGAUUUUUUCGAAAAUCGAAAACCAGUAACGAGCGAUCGCUACAGCCUCACCCCUGCGACGCGGGAGCAAGUGGAGACCAUUAGGAAAAAUCUGGGGACAGACGAAGAGGACAUCAAGAGGACCAUAGCGUCUGUGCAAGACUGGCUCAGGAUGCAGCCGCAUCUGCCCGACGAGAUAGCAAGCUGCUGACGAUGCCUGGCCUCACGGACCAGCUCUACCGGGUGCACGCCAUCGGAGACGCCGACCCGGACCCCGCGUGGGUGUCGUGGCCAAAUUACGGAAAAAUCGUCUCCAUAAACCUCGACAUGAUGUUAUUUAAUGACUACUCGCUCGGAGACAUCGUCAUAGUGGACCUGAAGAACCUGACUGCUGGACGCGCCCUCCAGACCGAUAUCAGUAUCAUACGCGCUAUUGAAUUUGGCUACAAGAUGAAUUCAUCAGUAGGGUGGAGGAGAAGAGAGACUGGUUCGUGGAGCAGGACCGCUACACCUCGGACGAGAGCAAGAGGCCCCCAGACAACCACUACGCCGACGGUUUGUUCGGAGUGGCGGGAUCCUUCAAGAAGCUCUCAGUGGACUGACGCCUCCACCGAGAAUCCACCAACGAAAUUUCAGAAUCUGUUAUGUGAUAAUUUAUGAGUGUUUUGGUAUAACAGACCCAUGGCCUUCGAUGAUUCGUUAUAGAGUAACAACAUAUUUUUUAUAUUUUCUUAUUGAGGUCUGCAGUCGAAAACUGGUUUGGUACAGAACCAAAUGCUAGUCUAUCCUCUGCACAAACUCCUUCACCUCUCCAUAUGUACAGCACCGGACGUCCAUCUGUGGAUGUCUUUGUUUAACCGAUCCCUUCUUUUAGUCGAAUUGUACCCUUUCAUUAAUUAUUCGACCUACUCAUCUAAUCUAUAGCAUUCUUUUUAGCACCACAUUUAAAACACUUCUAUCCUCUUAUUACUCGAACAUUUGAUCGUCCACGUUUCGCUUCAGUACAAUGCUACACUCCAGACAAAUACCUUCAGAAAAAAGAUUAAAAUAUUUAUAAUUAUCGUUAACAAAUUUGUAUUUUUCACAAAUGGUUUUUUUUCAGCUGCCAGUUCGCAUUUUAUGAUCUCCCUACUUCGACCAUUAUCAUUUAUUUCACUAAUCAAGCAGCAAAACGCAUCUACUAUGGUCAGUCACUUUCUGAUCUACUUCCCCAUGCUUGCCAGAUUCAGUUGCCUGAACUUUAUUUCUCGUUCCAAGUUUCUCCUUAAUUUUCUUUACUGCCUCAAUGUACAGACUGAAUUCCGUCUGUGAUAGCUUACAGCCCUCCUGAACUACCAGUUUCCCUUUGUGCCUUUCAAGCCUUGCAACUCCAGCCAAUUCUCUGUACAAGCUUCUCACUACUUGCAUUCUUUUCCUUUUACCUUCACAGUUUCCCAAACCCAAACGCAUCUUUCUCAAGGUCGACUUCUACCAAUUUUUCCAUUCUUCUGCAACUUGUUCGUGCCAGCAUUUUGUAACCAUUUUAUUAACAGAUGGCUCUCUAAUAUUCAUACCUCACAGCACCUACCUUCUCAGAAACAGAAAUAAUCGCUGUCUUCUUGUUUUCUCCGUCCCCCCCCCCCCUUCCUACUUUGUAUUUCCAUUGAAAUGAAAAUCUCUAUAACUAGCAACCAGAGAGCACAACUCUCUUAUACAGAAAUACUUAGGAAAUGUUGUUGAUCAUCGCCUGAAAUUUUGUCAGCGGUUCGGGUUCACCCAGAUAAGUGAUAAGCGUGCCCUCCUACAGGGACAAGGUCUACGGGACCUCCACCAUGUCACUGCGUGAAUCUGUAUUUUCAUUCAUUCUAGUUGUAAAGCAAUCGUGAGUGUAACAAUUAAAAUGUUAAUUUAUGUGAGUUGUGAUGUAUGCCUUUUUGGCUACUCAACUAUUUUUCCAUCGUAUGGAUUGCACGCAAUUCUCAUUGCGUACUCAAUUACUGGAUAACCGUUAAUGACAUUUUUGGAAAAGGUGCAUCACAAAGGUGGGUCGAAGGAAAUGAACUGUCCACAAUCCAGAAAAUUUUUUGUAAUUUCUAAGCACUUGUCUUAAAAAUUCAGUGUAGUCCAGUUUUUCAUGAUGUUCCAUAAACUAACCUUUAAGCUGGGUGUCACGUUGAAAUACAGUUACUUCAUUUAUCAAAUGAUUUUAUGAAACCUAAAUUAGGAGAAUAGUUUCAGAUCAUCUUGUUCAACAUGCCAAGGUUUCUAUAAUAGACUGAAACAGCCUUCAAGACCUCUAACAUCCGCAACUGUGGUUUUUAUCUCUUCCAAAUGUUCUCUCAAAGAGGACUCCACGCCUUGAUACAUUUUUUUGACAAUAGUUAAGCCUGACAGGAGCAUACUAACAGCCGAAAAAUUAGAAAAACUUUUUGCUUAAAGUUCAUUUACACACAACUGCAGUUUACCUUCAGAUGCAAUUAUUUAAUCAGUCCUUCGCUCAAUUAUGUUACUUGGAUCUCGUAAUUCCAUAUACGGUUUGGUUUAAUUUUUGUGUAAUAUAAGACAAAAAAACUGUAAGAGCCGAUAAUUAUUAGUUAUGAAGUUUAUCAGAAUUUUAACUGCGUUGUAAACAGUUUCACAUUUCAGAUUGCAAACAUUUUAUAGCAAUUUUCCGUUGCUUAGCCAUCUUGCAGAAGAAUGCAGGACUACAUCACCGCAACAAGUUUGCCGUUCCUGCACUGGUUCUUAGAUUUCCUGUUUUUAAUUUCACGUGUACUAGUUAAGUUUAUAACACUUAGGAAAGUUGCAGACCGUCCUUCAGUUUGUUAUUUGAAAUACGACAUUAAGUCAAAUUUUCCUGAUGCAGUAAGCAGUGAACGAAGCAUAAAUUUCGAAAAUUCCAUUCCAUUCAGCGUUACCAAACCACUGUUUACACCCGUCAUUGAUACACUGACAUUAAGUUUGCUCUUAGGUAAGCCAUUUUCUCUACAUUAUUUUUAUUAGCAUCUAUAAAAUUACAGUCUUUUGUGUGAUCUCUCAUGGUUACAACUAAUAUGAAAUCAUCGUCUAAUAUCUCAUCAUUUGUGAGCAAUGCAUAAAAAAACGAAAACGGAGCCAUAAAAGCUAUAUUUGAACUGGAAUAACACGAAAGAAUAUUUUAACAUUUUAUCUUUAAUACUCAUUCCCUCAAGAAUACCUUUUUAAAUAUCUUCUAUGCGGUGGUGACAGGAAGCUUCCGAAAAGAUAAGUUUUCUUAUUUCAGACAAUAUUUGUUUACUACUUGAGAAACGUUGAAACAAAAUUUGAGAAACAAUUACCAACAUUGCAUCACUAAUUCAGCGUCAGUGAAAGAUUUGAAAAUUUGUGGAAUAAUUUUAAGUUCUACAUUGGAUGCUUACAUGACAGCCUCAUUUUGCUGAACUGUUACUGAUUUUAGAUCAGCAAUUUUUCCCUUUCUUUAAUUUCAAUGCAAAUAAAUAGAAAUUAACUUUGCUUACUGGCGUAGUGCCGAAAUAAGUCGUAUGUCUUUCGCCGCACAACCAGUUCCUGUCGUAAAACAAAUAGCAAUAACGUUUCCGUGUACACUUACAAAACGGAAUUAUUUCUCCCAUUUUUUUUUGUUGAUCACACACUGGACUCUUUUAUUCUAAUGGAGAUAAUCACAACACAGACGAGCGCAAAUACGCUUCCAACACGAAGAACGCACAGGAACAUCAAAACUUACCGCAAGAUUGACCCUGUUUGGCAUGAUAAAGCUAAGGGACGGCGGCAAGGAAGCGGGGAUGGUACGUCGCCAUUCUUGGCGUAUUCCUUGUGCACAUCUCACCUCUAAUGACAUACUCCGCAAUUCCUUCUCAUAAACACCUACAACCCUCAGGUCAAUAACAACAGGUGACGAAAGCGAGAACUGGGGUUAACUGUUGCAGUACCACAAAAGAAUUCAAGAAUAGAACUAGUACGAAUUGAGUGUCAUUGCUUUGCUAAUGGAGAGACGAGUUCUGUUUGGCCAUGAAAUAUUACAACAUUAGCCACGAGAACGACAGGAAAAUUAUCGUAUGUUUAGUGGUCACUGACAAAAAUGAUGCCCCAAGAGAGAAUGUGUUACAUAUGUUUACUUAUAUUCAAAUAAAUGAAAGUCGUUAACUCGCCAACUAAUUCUUUUACUAGCCAAUUUAAUAGCCAGUCGCCAGAAAGUUAAAGCUGGCUAGUACCUAAAAAGAACUAAACAAAAGAAAUAGCCAGGAGUGUGAAAAACCGCCGUAUCUAGCAAUCCUGUCGCAGCAGAUAGUGUGGCGGGCAGAUGGUAACUAUGCGGAGCUCGGAAGCAAGAUUGCAAGAUACGAUUGCUCAGUCAGAUACCAGACAAUACCUGCUCUUAACUGUCAAGUGCAAGGUAUUUGUAAUCACAUUAUUUAUUACUUGUUUAUUGAGAUUAUUCUCUAUACUAAGGUUUUUCUCCAACAUAACAAAUACCUAUAAAUUAUUAUCUCUGUUACGUUAAGACCUUAAUUUAUCUCCUCAGGAUGUCCCUCCAGGUGUUUCAAUCUUGUAUAUCCUCUCCCUCCGCGCCAAUUCUUCUCAUUGCUAAUUGUACAUUUUGGAGGUAGGUGAUCGCAGGGUCUCCUCUUCUUUCCCUCGGGUUCCCAUUCAAGGACUAUUUUCGGUAUUCUGGCUUCCUCCAUUUAUCUUACAUGCCUGUACCAUUGUAACUUCCUUCUGCCCAUAGUUUCAUGUAUUUUUUAUCUUACUUCCAUUCUCUUUAUUAUUUAGUCGUUUGUUGCUUUCUCUUUUCUAGAGAUUCUUGCUGUUCUACAGAAGUGAGUUUCCACUGCUUGCAGUCUUUUUAAGUGUUUCAGAUUAAUAGUCCAUUUCUCUAUUCCAUACAUAACUAGUACCGAUUUUUAUAUGAUUCUCUUUGUUCUGAUCAUUACAUUUCUGCUCCAUAGGAUUGAAUUGAGCAUCUCAAUUACCUUCCUCCACUGCUAAAUCCUUCAUUAAUUUCCGCCACUGAUUUCGCCACCAUGUCUAAAGCGGGUCCCAAAUUAUAGAAAGUUUCACCUUCUUAAUUCUCUCUCCCUCCCUCUCCCUCUCCCUAUAAGUCAUCAGGAUCAUGAGUGAAGUAUUCUGUUUUCUGAUAAUUAACCCUCAAUCCCCAGUUUCUGCAUCCAUUGCUACCUCAUUAUGUAUAUAAUUUGAAUCCUCCCUAUCUUUUUUUACAUCUGUUUGAUCAUCAGCAGAUAACAAAGUGAUGUAGAUAAACUCCGUCUUCAAUUUCUAUCAAACCCCAUUGCAUUUGCGAGUCCAUGUCUUAAGACUUACGUCUAUAUAGACUUUAAAUAUGGUUGGUGACAUGGGGCAGCAUUAUAACAGACUCUUGUAAUCACAUUAUAAUUGCAAUAAAGAACUACAACGUGUUGGGUAAA